AGAGUGUUUCCGUUUUUCGGGAACUCGGGAAUAUCAGGACACCAUGUUGGCAUUUGAAAACUCUGUCAUGGAUGGUCCCAAGCCCGGCUGUGGAAGGAGGAGGGUUGUAUAUGAGGCUAGCAGCCCCAUCCCAUAAAAACCCAGAGCGACAGAAAUGCCAUCCAAAGCUCCAAAGACCCCGUCCCUGGCAGCGACAAUUUGAAAGACUGGCCCUGGACUGAGGACUCUGGGGUGAUGGGCUUAAAGUUGCUUGGAGUGUUCUUUUGUCUUCCUGGUGUUGUUGCAGGAUUCGGACUCACCAGCAGUUGGACCUUCUUCGGAUUUUUAAUGGCAGUUGGCAAUCCAACUUAAAGAUGCAUUACUGCCGCCAACUAGACUGAAGUGUGGUGUAGAGAGUUGGGAAAUAAAACUAACUGUUUAUCAAGUGAAAACUAAACUACUCCAAAAGCCCUGUAGGUUGUA